UUAGUACUCCCUCCGUCCCAAAAUUUUUGUCUUAAAUUUGUCUAGAUAUGGAUGUAUCUAAUACUAAAACGUGACUUGAUACAUCCAUAUUUAGACAAAUCUAAGACAAGAAUUUUAGGACAGAGGGAGUAGUAU
rnacentral:pre_miRNA from 1 species